rnacentral:rRNA from 1 species
GAUGAACGCUGGCGGCGUGCCUAAUACAUGCAAGUCGAGCGAACAGACGAGGAGCUUGCUCCUCUGACGUUAGCGGCGGACGGGUGAGUAACACGUUGAUAACCUACCUAUAAGACUGGGAUAACUUCGGGAAACCGGAGCUAAUACCGGAUAAUAUAUUGAACCGCAUGGUUCAAUAGUUAAAGACGGUUUUGCUGUCACUUAUAGAUGGAUCCGCGCCGCAUUAGCUAGUUGGUAAGGUAACGGCUUACCAAGGCGACGAUGCGUAGCCGACCUGAGAGGGUGAUCGGCCACACUGGAACUGAGACACGGUCCAGACUCCUACGGGAGGCAGCAGUAGGGAAUCUUCCGCAAUGGGCGAAAGCCUGACGGAGCAACGCCGCGUGAGUGAUGAAGGUCUUCGGAUCGUAAAACUCUGUUAUUAGGGAAGAACAAAUGUGUAAGUAACUAUGCACGUCUUGACGGUACCUAAUCAGAAAGCCACGGCUAACUACGUG